ACAACAUACCACCCUUUUGGGAUUCUGAAAUGUCUUACUGAGCACUUUAUUCAAUCUAAAUUUAAAUAGAACUUUCACCACUUCCCAAGAGAGAAACAACAAUGAAUGAGAUGAGAGCGAGAGGAACUGCACAGAGAUUUUAUACAGUCCACCAAGGGCUAGUGCAGAGGUAAAAUGAUCACAGAAAUUGGAGAAUAUAAAGGAGAAGGUGUGAGUUCUGAAGUUCUUGUAUUGUUUUCUGAACGUAGCUCAAUUGGUGUCCAGUGGCUCUUCUCUUACCACAUGGUGAGGCGACUGCCUAACUUUUUUCUUGGAGGAGUGAUAUUAAUUCAUCCCAGUGACACCAGCCCAGGGUUAACACCAACCACAGCGGGCUGGGCUAGGACAGUCUGAUAGGGGCAAUUCCUCAGUUGUGUUUCCCUCUUGUCAGGUCUCCACCAGAAGGUGUGGUCCAGAUUAAAGGGGUGCCUUUCUACAUCAAUCAUUAAUCAAAAAAAUAUUUCACAGAUGUGACCAAAGGCUAAUAAAAUGGGGAAAUUUCUGCAACUAAGAUUCCAUUUACUCAUAUAACUAGUAUAUGUAAAAUUGACAAAAACUAGCCAAAACAGGCAUGAUGUAGUAUGCUGUUAUGGUAGGUAGGUGGAUCUUUAUGAGUUAGAGACUCUGUCUUCAAACUAACAAACAAAAGUCCCAUAUAACUCUGAAAAUAAAAUUGUACCAAUGGCAAAGUGAAACUUCAGAUUUCCCUCCUCUAUCCUCCCUAGAAAAUUGUAAUACAUUAUACAUUGUAUAUUAUAGGUAUGAUUCCUUUAAUUUUUCAGUAUGUUCUUUAAAGUAUUAGUGGAAUUUUAAAUUUCAGUGUUUUAAUGCUUUAUUCAGUAUAGUAUCUGAAAAAAUGAUUUCAUAUAAAAGCAUUGGAAAUAUUCAAACAUAUAUGAGAUAGUUGUAUAAGAAAUGAGAAAAAUCAAUUUAAAAUAUUUUCAUUGACUUCAUUAUGUAUCUUAUUGGUGUUAUCGGUUACAGAAGUUCUUAAAGUAAGGAUUGUGACACUUGUAUGAGUCUUUAUUAAAUGAAUAAUAACAGGUAAAUUAUCUUAUGAAUAAUAUCUUAAGUCAGUACUUUUGAAUACAAGAGAAUGAACAUAUUUUCUAAAUGUGUUUAGUUAAAACACUGGUACACAGAAAUAUUUAUUAGUAGUCCUAUAUAAAAUAGGGUCUUGAUCAGUCAAAAGACCCAGCUAAUUUGAGGGUUGAUGCUAAAAUAAAUGAGAUCUAAAGU
rnacentral:lncRNA from 1 species